UACAGAGGUCUCAAGCGUUGUUCGGAUUCAUUGGGCGUAAAGGGUGCGUAGGCGGCGCGGUAAGUCGGGUGUGAAAUCUCGGAGCUUAACUCCGAAACUGCAUUCGAUACUGCCGUGCUUGAGGACUUGAGAGGAGACUGGAAUUUACGGUGUAGCGGUGAAAUGGGUAGAUAUCGUAAGGAAGACCAGUGGCGAAGGCGGGUCUCUGGACAGUUCCUGACGCUGAGGCACGAAGGUCAGGGGAGCAAACGGG
rnacentral:rRNA from 1 species